rnacentral:sRNA from 1 species
GCCAGGUGCAGUGGUGCAUGCCUGUAAUCCCAGCAACUAGGGAGACUGAGACAGGAGGAUUGCAAGUUCAAAGCCAGCCUCAGCAAAAGUGAGGUGCUAAGCAACUCAGUGAGACCCUGUCUCUA